rnacentral:rRNA from 1 species
ACUCCUACGGGAGGCAGCAGUGGGGAAUAUUGCACAAUGGGCGCAAGCCUGAUGCAGCCAUGCCGCGUGUGUGAAGAAGGCCUUCGGGUUGUAAAGCACUUUCAGUCGUGAGGAAGGUGGUAGUGUUAAUAGCACUAUCAUUUGACGUUAGCGACAGAAGAAGCACCGGCUAACUCCGUGCCAGCAGCCGCGGUAAUACGGAGGGUGCGAGCGUUAAUCGGAAUUACUGGGCGUAAAGCGCAUGCAGGUGGUUUGUUAAGUCAGAUGUGAAAGCCCGGGGCUCAACCUCGGAAUAGCAUUUGAAACUGGCAGACUAGAGUACUGGUAGGAGGGGGUUAGAAUUUCAGGUGUAGCGUGAAAUGCGUAGAGAUCUGAAGGAUACCGGU